rnacentral:rRNA from 1 species
GCGACAGGCUUAACACAUGCAAGUCGAGGGGCAGCGGGGGUAGCGAUACCCGCCGGCGACCGGCGCACGGGUGAGUAACGCGUAUGCAACUUGCCUAUCAGAGGGGGAUAACCCGGCGAAAGUCGGACUAAUACCGCAUGAAGCAGGGGCCCCGCAUGGGGAUAUUUGCUAAAGAUUCAUCGCUGAUAGAUAGGCAUGCGUUCCAUUAGGCAGUUGGCGGGGUAACGGCCCACCAAACCGACGAUGGAUAGGGGUUCUGAGAGGAAGGUCCCCCACAUUGGUACUGAGACACGGACCAAACUCCUACGGGAGGCAGCAGUGAGGAAUAUUGGUCAAUGGCCGAGAGGCUGAACCAGCCAAGUCGCGUGAGGGAUGAAGGUUCUAUGGAUCGUAAACCUCUUUUAUAAGGGAAUAAAGUGCGGGACGUGUCCCGUUUUGUAUGUACCUUAUGAAUAAGGAUCGGCUAACUCCGUGCCAGCAGCCGCGGUAAUACGGAGGAUCCGAGCGUUAUCCGGAUUUAUUGGGUUUAAAGGGUGCGUAGGCGGCCUUUUAAGUCAGCGGUGAAAGUCUGUGGCUCAACCAUAGAAUUGCCGUUGAAACUGGGGGGCUUGAGUAUGUUUGAGGCAGGCGGAAUGCGUGGUGUAGCGGUGAAAUGCAUAGAUAUCACGCAGAACCCCGAUUGCGAAGGCAGCCUGCCAAGCCAUUACUGACGCUGAUGCACGAAAGCGUGGGGAUCAAACAGGAUUAGAUACCCUGGUAGUCCACGCAGUAAACGAUGAUCACUAGCUGUUUGCGAUACACUGUAAGCGGCACAGCGAAAGCGUUAAGUGAUCCACCUGGGGAGUACGCCGGCAACGGUGAAACUCAAAGGAAUUGACGGGGGCCCGCACAAGCGGAGGAACAUGUGGUUUAAUUCGAUGAUACGCGAGGAACCUUACCCGGGUUUGAACGCAUUCGGACCGAGGUGGAAACACCUUUUCUAGCAAUAGCCGUUUGCGAGGUGCUGCAUGGUUGUCGUCAGCUCGUGCCGUGAGGUGUCGGCUUAAGUGCCAUAACGAGCGCAACCCUUGCCACUAGUUACUAACAGGUAAAGCUGAGGACUCUGGUGGGACUGCCAGCGUAAGCUGCGAGGAAGGCGGGGAUGACGUCAAAUCAGCACGGCCCUUACAUCCGGGGCGACACACGUGUUACAAUGGCGUGGACAAAGGGAAGCCACCUGGCGACAGGGAGCGAAUCCCCAAACCACGUCUCAGUUCGGAUCGGAGUCUGCAACCCGACUCCGUGAAGCUGGAUUCGCUAGUAAUCGCGCAUCAGCCAUGGCGCGGUGAAUACGUUCCCGGGCCUUGUACACACCGCCCGUCAAGCCAUGGGAGCCGGGGGUACCUGAAGUCCGUAACCGCGAGGAUCGGCCUAGGGUAAAACUGGUGACUGGGGCU